GCUGCAUGAUGUAAUGAACUGAGUGCUGCCUGCAGGUGAGCUGUGCAGGAAGGAUGGUGAUGCUGAGAUGUCUGUAGGGAGGCAAUGGGCAGCAACGGGUUAGGGAAGCAAGGCAGGGCUUCACACCUUGGCACUGCCCAGCCUGCUCCCUCCUGCAGCAGAAUGGUGCUGUGUGAGUCUCUGGGAGGAUGUCACAGGGCACAGCAUUCGUGUGCUGAGAGAAACAGGAGCUGGCAAUGUUUACCAGCAGCGGCAGGCUUUAGGGACAGACUUCUUUGCACUCCAGGUGGAUGGAGGUUGGCCUCGUGCUGCUUCCCAAACCUCCCUUGUCCUCGGGCUGGGAUGCUCCAGUCAUUACCCAAGGGGGAAGGGAAAUGAGUUAAACCCAUCUUCAGACACGUUUGUAUUGAUUCUGUCACUUUCUUGCUGCUUGCUGACAGGUGAUGGAUGGCUCAUAAUGCGACCGGCACAGUACAUUACGUUUCCCAUCCAGGGACUCCUAAAUCAUUUCAAAUUUUCAAAUUCCCUAAUCAAUAUUUUAUCAGUAGCAGAAGAAAGCGGAACGGGCCCAUUUCUCAAGAGGGAGGGGAGUGAGCGUGUGUGUAUGCGUGCCUGCACAUGGAUGUGAGUUUGUGUAUUUGUAAUAGCAACUAAAGCAUCGCUAGCACAGUGAUUACAGUACCUGCAGCUGUAAAAAUAAAUGCAGAAGUAGGACUGGGAGUGGUGUUUACAUUCUGGUGACUACAGGAUGAAACAAAUUAAGGACUCGAGCGUUUGGUGUUAAUGUAUGGGGCUGUGGCCUUCUUCCUCUUGGCUUGUACUCUACCCUUUUCUCUCUGUUGUUAUAUGAAGAGGGCGGCUGCUCUCACCUGUCUAUUUGCUGGAGCUGGAGAUAGAUUUUGGGUUGUGCUGCCCAAGGUGCUCCCUUCCCCAGAGGCACCAUGCGCUAUGGGAUGCAGACCUUGAGUCCUUGCUCAGCCAUUACAGUGCUGCAUGUAGGAAUAAUACGUUUCUUGUUCUGAACCACAGAAUCACGGGGUUGGAAGGGACCUCUGGAGAUCUUCCAGUCCAAUCCUGCUGCUAAAGCAGUUCCCUACAGUAGGUCACAUAGGAAAGCGCCCAGUUGGGGCUUGAAUGUCACCAGAGAAGAAGACUCCAUCACCUUUCUGGGCAACCUGUUCCACUGCUGUCCCAUCUCACAGUAAAGAAGUCUGAGGACUGGCCUCGUCAGCGGGAAUCCUAUGGAAUGGAUCCCAUCAGUGAGCAGGGAGGAUGCUCUGGACCAGCAACAGCCAACAGAACCCCUCAGUGUUCAUCCUCCAGAAGUCAGUACUGCUCCUGCCUCUUUCAACCCUACAAGUGUCUUGCAGAGAUGUUUUAGCAUUUGAAGAGCUGCGUGUUGUAGGAUUUCUGUUGUCCCUGCUCUUAUGAUCUCGUCCCAUCCCGUAGAUGAAUGGAAAAACUGAUCUGACUAACGUCUUCUUUCCCAAGGUUUGAAGCCUGAGGGAUGGUGCUACUUGCAGAGGGACCCGCAGGGACAUUGUGGGAUUACUGGUAGGAGGAUGGCAUGGGGCUGCCACAGCACAUCUCCUCUGGCACUGCCUGGGCAGGGAACCCUGCAGUCCAGCACAACCCAGCUCCCACCACCACAUCAGCCUCUUGCAGUGGCUCACUCUGAGCUGUCGCUAAUGAGGAUGGUGCUCAUCAUGUGAUCGCGCCUUUGGGCAAGGGCGGUGGUGCUGCUAAUUGGCUUCUCUGGCUGCGGUUUCCUUAGGAAACAAGGUUAAAGCAACUCAGCUCAAAAAUGUACCUCCCGGAGGAAGGCACUUCAAUAUUUCUUCCCCUGUAAAUGGAAACAGCUCUAUGCCUGACGCCAGCUCCUUUCUAUCACCAGGUGGAACCAAAGGAUGUAGGUGCAUCUCUGCUAUGUUCUCUCUUGGUGUGUUGGUCCUGUGGCCCAGCCCUGGAUCAACACAUUUUCUAUCUAAUGUAUUUGACCAUCAGAGCUAUGAAAAUUCUGAAAUGAAGUUCUCCCAAAUAAAUCAAAUAGAAAGGAAGUGGCUUUGUAUCAAACCACUGAAUUAAUAUAAUUAUCGUAUCGAUUAAAUCAUCAAACAAACCUGCAGCUCCUCUAUCAGAUUCACUGUGCCUGGUUCACGCUCCCUGAAGCACAGACCACUAUGCCAACCGUUCCCUUUGCAUUCCAGGCAGAGAGCUGCUCCUCACUGGGGCUGCAGUGAUCUCUGGCCACAUCUCGCACACAGAGCAGGCCUCCACUGCCCAUUACAGCUGUCAGCCGAAAUUAUAUGUAUUUGGGGAAGAGGUGAUCUCUCACAUACCCACUCCGAUGUGAGUCACUGAGCCUGAGCUGGCAUUACACAGCUUGAUGCGUUCCAAAUUACAGAAGGAAAGUGCUGUCGAGUCAUGGCCUGUUGGGGCUGAAUGUGGCACGGGGGCACGUGCACCUCUCCUGCAGGCAAAGGGCUGCGGGGAGAUGAGAGGGGCGAGAAGUGAUGGCCUCAAGUUGUGCCAGGGGAGGCUCAGGCUGAGUAUUAGGAAACAUUUGUUCUCCAAAAAAGUGGCAAUGCAGUGGCACAGGCUGCCCAGGGAAGUAGUGGGGUGACUGUCCCUGGAGGUACUGAGGAACGAUGGAGAUGUGGCACUGAGGAAUGUGAGCAUGGUAGGGAUGGGUUGGAGUUGGACUCGGUGAUCUGAGAGGUCUUCUCCAACCUUAACGAUUCCAUGAUUCUAUGAUCUCUCACCCAAAGGACUCUCCUUGAACAUUCACCCCCUCUGCUCUUGUGCCUGCUCCUGCUCUCACUGCUCUGCCGCUUUGGGGUAAGGGAGUAUUUUCCACCUAAAAAAUGCAGCUGUAAGAUGUGGUCUUGACUUUAAAGCAGGGUUGGAGUCAGGCAGGCAGCCAGCCAAGAGCUGGGCGUGAUUAUUCAGAGGAUUAUGAUCAGUGAGUCUACAUCCAUUGACCUGCAGGACUCAGCUUGAAAACAUUAAGAACUUGUCACAAUUUGGUGCUAAAAUUGCCUUUGAACCCCCAACAAGUUUUCUCCUCCAUAGGCAGCUACAAGAGGCAGUCGCUGUCUCUGCAAGCAGUGGCUUAACUUGGUUUUAAGUUCUGAAGCAAUGCUGGAGGAAUGAAGCCAAUGACUGGGGCAGUGGGAAUGUCCCCGUUUUGGGCUCAGCAAACCCCAGCAUGGCUCACAGGUCCCGCAGCCACAUCCCUGCUGGCUCAGAGCUGAUAAGCGACGCAAUUUCAGCCUCAUUCCAGCUGACAACAAGCAAAGACUGACUCAUCCCCAGCAGUGUUAUUUCAGUGUGAGUUUAGCCUCCAAUUGUGCCGUAAAAAGAAGAAAAAGCACGACUGCUUUGCAGAAAGAGCCCUCAUUGUUCCUUUAGUUUGGGGCCGCUCUCUGCUGCUCGUAUGCUAAUGGCAAGCUCCUUGCACAGCUCAGUGGGGGAGAAGCAGCAAACAAGAGGCGUGCUCCAGGUCUGGCUUUCUGCUGUGCUCAAACUUUUCCAUGGUUCCUGCUCUUUCAGGAAGCAGUCUGCAGGUGAGGCGUGAAAUGCUUCCACUGAGCAAAUUGAAAGAGACUGUCUCGGCAGGAGAGGGAUUUGAAUAACCUUGUGCUGUAUAAGUUUUGGGGGGAGGCUCUCAGCCUUCCUUGCAUGCAGAUUUCCCAGGGGUGGUGCUUUUCGUCCUGCAUGUGAUUUGUUUUGGUGUGUCUGCGCCACUGUGUGUGGCUGGAGAUGGAAAGCUGGAACAGAGCUGUUCUGAGCAUGCAGGUAAGAGGUUGCAUGGCCAGAUUCACCUCGACAUGAUGGUAAACAGCUCUCAGCGGCUAGCAUCCUGUUUCCCUGCACUGUGCCCAAGCGAAGAAGCUGAUGGCCUUCCUGGUGGAGGCAGUGUUUUGGCUGCGGCCCCAGUUUCAGAAGUUGAGCAGCUGAAGUUACCCCCAUGCAUUUCUCCAGGCAUCUCCUGGAGAGACAUUCUGGUGACCUGCUGGUUUCAAACCCCAGGCUGUGCUGGUGGGACCUUCCAGAGCAUCCAUAGCCUGCAUUGGGUUAAACCACCCUAGAUCUGUACCAGCCAAGUUCCAGGUUGCACAGAGAGCUGGAGGUGCCCCAGGCCACAGGUGGGCCCCGGGCAGCCUGAGCUGGUUGGCAGCCAGCCCAUGGCAGGGGAACUGGGGGGGGCUUUGGUGUCCUUUCCAGCCCAACCAUGCUGUGAUUCUAUGAUUCUGUGAAAGCAGUGCGUGAGGGCUCUGAGCACUGGGCUGCAAGCAGGAUGGUGCCUAGGAUUUCACACCUCGACGAAUUUCUGCACAUUCAAAUAUGGCAUCUCGGCACUCUGCUCCCCUGCUCAUCUGUAUUCUCCCCCCAAAGGCAGAUGCUCCAGCCCGGCAUUGGCAUUCAGUGCUGGUGCCGACACCUCUCACCAGAUCAGAACUGGGAUCGAUUCCCCCUGCUGUCGGCCGUUUGCGCUCUGCCAUCCACCCAACGCCCACAGCAAAAACUCUGCCUCUGCUCCGCAGCUUCUCCCCGCACCCUUCCCUUCCCAGCAUCCCCCCGAGCUGCUCCGCUGCCCGGCCGGGGUUCAGCCCUUUGUCCUGCGGACUGCGCUGAAGCUUGGCUGCUCCUUUUUGCAGAAUGAGCCUCUGCUUAGGUCAGCUGUAAUUUAAUCAAGCGGUACAAAGGAUUUAGUGCACCUUGCUGAUGGAAAUUGCCUUGGGCUGGACAAAAGAAAUAUGCAUGCCUUUCCCUUCGCCUCCUCCUGCAGCAGCUCAGGCUGUGGUUGGUGUUUUCCUUCCCCUCCCCGCUCCCUGACACGUAACUCAGAGGCAGUUCACAUCUCGCUAUCUGCCUCAAAGUCUUACGAGGCUUCUUCCCUCGCAAUGACGGAUUCAGCGAAUAAAGCCCACAACCAUGAUUUCCCUCAG